rnacentral:tRNA from 1 species
GCGGUGGUAGCUCAGUGGUAGAGCGCCUAACAACUCCUUGUUCAUCCCUUGCCCAAUUGGGCCGAAGAAUUAGGGUUAUCGCCUGUCAAGCGGGAAGUCGGCGGGUUCAAUUCCCGCUCCACCGCGCCA